rnacentral:tRNA from 1 species
GGGUAUAGCUCAGUGGUAGAGCACAUGCUUAGCAUGCACGAGGUCCUGGGUUCCAUCCCCUGCACCUCCA